rnacentral:lncRNA from 1 species
GCUCGGAUCGGCGCUAAACUUGCACUCCAGGUAUUCUGUCUUAGAUCUGCUUAUUUUGAAACUUUUAGACGCGAGAGUCUGCCUCCAUACCUCUAACCUUUCAAUAACUCCUGCCCUCGACUCAUCAAUCAAAUACUAUAUCAUCAGCAAAUAACAUACACCGCGGCACAUCCCCUUGAAUACGACGGGUAAGAGCACCUAUCACUAAGGCAAACAAGAGAGGGCUCAGCGCCGAUCCUUGAUGGAGCCCCGCACCACUGGAAAAUGGCCUGAUUCACCACCCACCGUCCUAACCCUAGUCAUAGCUCCAUUGUAC